rnacentral:rRNA from 1 species
UACGGGAGGCAGCAGUGGGGAAUAUUGCACAAUGGGCGAAAGCCUGAUGCAGCUAUGCCGCGUGUAUGAAGAAGGCCUUAGGGUUGUAAAGUACUUUCAUCGGGGAGGAAAAACAAAACUAAUAAUUUUAUUUCUUGACGUUACCCGAAAAAGAAGCACCGGCUAACUCCGUGCCAGCAGCCGCGGUAAUACGGAGGGUGCUAGCGUUAAUCAGAAUUACUGGGCGUAAAGAGCACGUAGGUGGUUUUUUUAAGUCAGAUGUGAAAUCCCUGGGCUUAACCUAGGAACUGCAUUUUGAAACUGAAAUACUAGAGUAUCGUAGAGGGAGGUAGAAUUCUAGGUGUAGCGGUGAAAUGCGUAGAUAUCUGGAGGAAUACCUGUGGCGAAAGCGGCCUCCUAAACGAAUACUGACACUGAGGUGCGAAAGCGUGGGGAGCAAACGAGGAUUAGAC